AGUUGUCAAUAACACAAUGCAAAGACCUGUAAAAUAGGUUUUUGAAAAUAUAAAAUAAAUAUCGAAUCGAUGAUAAUUCCCUUUUAAAAAUAUUAUCAAAAUGAUAAAAUACAUCACCGGAAAAUAUUGAUAUAUCGAGUAUUCUAUCGAAGCAGAGGCACAAAUUGAAAAUCUAGAGCUUUGUUACAGUUUUAAUUCCAAUGUUCUCAAUUACUUUAUUACUCCUCUUUGACCAUAUUUACAAACAACACCUUUGGCCCUCCUUUAAUUUAAUAAAUGAAUUACUUUAUAUUUUAUAAGUAUUUUUCUUCACGUUAACUUUUGGCGUCGUACUUAUCGACUCAUGCCAAAUGGAAAUUUCUUUUGCCGACGGCCAAAUUUUGUUUGUCAAAUCUGAGGUGGGGAAGAAAUAAAUUUUUUAUAAAAUAACUAAGUGGCAGAAUGAUCUUGUGGUGGUGUGGAAUAACCAUCAAUAGGUCACUGUGCAAACUAUUUUUUGCCAUGGUAAAUAAGAUCUGGUAUUGAUAUAAAAAAAGGCAUUUACUUUUCAUUUUGGCCAGACAAAUCGAAAAAAUUCUUACGAAUUCGGUUAGCAGAGCAUGCCUGCAUUUCUCAUAUUUCAAUAGAUACAUUUUUAGACGACUAGUUUCUCGGUAGUCGACUUUUGAAAGUACAUUUAGGAAGAAAUGGUAAAAGCAAUAAAACGGUUUUUUAAAAUCUCUCCAUCUUCUAUUAAAUAUAAUUGGAUAUGUGAACAGUGGUGACCGGGAUCUGGAAAAGAUCAACAUGUUCCCAUCACUCCCAUCCAAUCGCUCAGCGUCCCCGUCUUAGCCAAAUUCUCAAGGCCAUAGGCUUUCAACAUGAGGCAACCGACGUCAAGCCGUAGUGGCCUGUACGAUUCGGUACCUAACUUGUUCUUAAAUCGAACAGCAACAGCCAUUCAAAAAAACUUAUCCGACACACUACUCAAUCGUUAACUCAUUCUUUUUAAAGUAUGGAACUCUUGGAGGAGGUGGACUUACCAACAACUGAAAAUACCAUGGUAUAUCCCACUGGUGGUGUUGUGGAUACUUGACAUUCGUAGAUUCCGGAAUCUCUUAGUUGAGAAAACUUGAUCUUGAAAUGUAC